GCUGGCAGCCUGGGCUCUUGGAGAUUGUAUCUGGUGCCGGAGAGGACUGGCUCCCACACUCAGUGAGGGAGGAAUUUUACUGACCCAGCAUCCAGAUGAACUUUGGUGAGGAGAGGAGGACAUAAGAGCCUGGUGGUUGAUGAUGGAAGAGAUGAAACUGUGAAGAGACCGAAGAAGCUAAUCUAUCAAUAGUUAAGAUUCCAUUUCUAAAAGAUCUUACUUUGAGUCUACCUAUGCCUGGGAUGUCAAGAGACGGAGUUUCACUGUUGUUGCCCAGGCUGGAGUGCAGUGG
rnacentral:lncRNA from 1 species